UCGGGAAUUUUGGGCAAUGGGCGAAAGCCUGACCCAGCAACGCCGCGUGAAGGAUGAAAUCCCUCGGGAUGUAAACUUCGCAAGAACGGGAAGAAUAAGUAGGGGACAAUACCCCCUAUGAUGACGGUACCGUUUGUAAGCUCCGGCUAACUCCGUG
rnacentral:rRNA from 1 species